rnacentral:rRNA from 1 species
GACGAACGCUGGAGGCGUGCUUAACACAUGCAAGUCGAACGGAAAGGCCCUGCUUUUGUGGGGUGCUCGAGUGGCGAACGGGUGAGUAACACGUGAGUAACCUGCCCUUGACUUUGGGAUAACUUCAGGAAACUGGGGCUAAUACCGGAUAGGAGCUCCUGCUGCAUGGUGGGGGUUGGAAAGUUUCGGCGGUUGGGGAUGGACUCGCGGCUUAUCAGCUUGUUGGUGGGGUAGUGGCUUACCAAGGCUUUGACGGGUAGCCGGCCUGAGAGGGUGACCGGCCACAUUGGGACUGAGAUACGGCGCAGACUCCUACGGGAGGCAGCAGUGGGGAAUAUUGCACAAUGGGCGGAAGCCUGAUGCAGAGACGCCGCGGGCGGGAUGACGGCCUUCGGGUUGUAAACCGCUUUCGCCUGUGACGAAGCGUGAGUGACGGUAAUGGGUAAAGAAGCACCGGCUAACUACGUG